GGGCGUAAGGGCUUCGCAGGCGGUUUCUUAAGUCUGAUGUGAAAGCCCCCGGCUCAACCGGGGAGGGUCAUUGGAAACUGGGGAACUUGAGUGCAGAAGAGGAGAGUGGAAUUCCACGUGUAGCGGUGAAAUGCGUAGAGAUGUGGAGGAACACCAGUGGCGAAGGCGACUCUCUGGUCUGUAACUGACGCUGAGGAGCGAAAGCGUGGGGAGCGAACAGGAUUAGAUACCCUGGUAGUCCACGCCGUAAACGAUGAGUGCUAAGUGUUAGGGGGUUUCCGCCCCUUAGUGCUGCAGCUAACGCAUUAAGCACUCCGCCUGGGGAGUGCAGUCGCAAGACUGAAACUCACAGGAAUUGACGGGGGCCCGCA
rnacentral:rRNA from 1 species